rnacentral:rRNA from 1 species
GAUGAACGCUGGCGGCAUGCCUAAGACAUGCAAGUCGUACGAAGCGGCCCAAUGAUUUAUUUAGAAACACUGAGAGCUUGCUCAAAGUGUGGAAGAAUAAUGAUUUGGAUUUUCCGCUUAGUGGCAAACGGGUGAGUAACACGUGGGUUACCUACCUCCUAGAUGGGGAUACCAAUUGGAAACGAUUGUUAAUACCGAAUGUGAUCUAUGGAUUAAAGAAGCCUUUAAAGCUUCGCUAGGAGAUGGGCCUGCGGUGCAUUAGAUAGUUGGUGGGGUAAUGGCCUACCAAGUCGACGAUGCAUAGCUGAACUGAGAGGUUGAUCGGCCACAUUGGGACUGAGACA